rnacentral:rRNA from 2 species
ACAUUUGAGUGAGUGGCGAACUGGUGAGUAACACGUGGGAAACCUGCCCAGAAGCGGGGGAUAACACCUGGAAACAGAUGCUAAUACCGCAUAACAACUUGGACCGCAUGGUCCGAGUUUGAAAGAUGGCUUCGGCUAUCACUUUUGGAUGGUCCCGCGGCGUAUUAGCUAGAUGGUGGGGUAACGGCUCACCAUGGCAAUGAUACGUAGCCGACCUGAGAGGGUAAUCGGCCACAUUGGGACUGAGACACGGCCCAAACUCCUACGGGAGGCAGCAGUAGGGAAUCUUCCACAAUGGACGAAAGUCUGAUGGAGCAACGCCGCGUGAGUGAAGAAGGGUUUCGGCUCGUAAAACUCUGUUGUUAAAGAAGAACAUAUCUGAGAGUAACUGUUCAGGUAUUGACGGUAUUUAACCAGAAAGCCACGGCUAACUACGUGCCAGCAGCCGCGGUAAUACGUAGGUGGCAAGCGUUGUCCGGAUUUAUUGGGCGUAAAGCGAGCGCAGGCGGUUUUUUAAGUCUGAUGUGAAAGCCUUCGGCUCAACCGAAGAAGUGCAUCGGAAACUGGGAAACUUGAGUGCAGAAGAGGACAGUGGAACUCCAUGUGUAGCGGUGAAAUGCGUAGAUAUAUGGAAGAACACCAGUGGCGAAGGCGGCUGUCUGGUCUGUAACUGACGCUGAGGCUCGAAAGUAUGGGUAGCAAACAGGAUUAGAUACCCUGGUAGUCCAUACCGUAAACGAUGAAUGCUAAGUGUUGGAGGGUUUCCGCCCUUCAGUGCUGCAGCUAACGCAUUAAGCAUUCCGCCUGGGGAGUACGGCCGCAAGGCUGAAACUCAAAGGAAUUGACGGGGGCCCGCACAAGCGGUGGAGCAUGUGGUUUAAUUCGAAGCUACGCGAAGAACCUUACCAGGUCUUGACAUACUAUGCAAAUCUAAGAGAUUAGACGUUCCCUUCGGGGACAUGGAUACAGGUGGUGCAUGGUUGUCGUCAGCUCGUGUCGUGAGAUGUUGGGUUAAGUCCCGCAACGAGCGCAACCCUUAUUAUCAGUUGCCAGCAUUAAGUUGGGCACUCUGGUGAGACUGCCGGUGACAAACCGGAGGAAGGUGGGGAUGACGUCAAAUCAUCAUGCCCCUUAUGACCUGGGCUACACACGUGCUACAAUGGAUGGUACAACGAGUUGCGAACUCGCGAGAGUAAGCUAAUCUCUUAAAGCCAUUCUCAGUUCGGAUUGUAGGCUGCAACUCGCCUACAUGAAGUCGGAAUCGCUAGUAAUCGCGGAUCAGCAUGCCGCGGUGAAUACGUUCCCGGGCCUUGUACACACCGCCCGUCACACCAUGAGAGUUUG